UCGGGAAUAUUGCGCAAUGGAGGAAACUCUGACGCAGUGACGCCGCGUAUAGGAAGAAGGUUUUCGGAUUGUAAACUAUUGUCGUUAGGGAAGAAAAAAGACAGUACCUAAGGAGGAAGCUCCGGCUAACUACGUGCCAGCAGCCGCGGUAAUACGUAGGGAGCAAGCGUUAUCCGGAUUUAUUGGGUGUAAAGGGUGCGUAGACGGGCGAUCAAGUUAGUUGUGAAAUCCCUCGGCUCAACUGAGGAACUGCAACUAAAACUGGUUGUCUUGAGUGCAGGAGAGGUAAGUGGAAUUCCUAGUGUAGCGGUGAAAUGCGUAGAUAUUAGGAGGAACACCAGUGGCGAAGGCGACUUACUGGACUGUAACUGACGUUGAGGCACGAAAGUGUGGGGAACAAACAGGAUUAGAUACC
rnacentral:rRNA from 1 species